GACGAACGCUGGCGGCGUGCUUAACACAUGCAAGUCGAACGGUGAAGCGCCUUCCUUUUUGGUGGGUGUGGAUGAGUGGCGAACGGGUGAGUAACACGUGAGUAACCUGCCCCCUUCUUCUGGAUAACCGCAUGAAAGUGUGGCUAAUACGGGAUAUUCUGGGUCUGUCGCAUGAUGGGUCUGGGAAAGAUAUUGUUUCGGUGGGGGAUGGGCUCGCGGCCUAUCAGCUUGUUGGUGGGGUGAUGGCCUACCAAGGCGGUGACGGGUAGCCGGCCUGAGAGGGUGGACGGUCACACUGGGACUGAGACACGGCCCAGACUCCUACGGGAGGCAGCAGUGGGGAAUAUUGCACAAUAGGCGCAAGCCUGAUGCAGCGACGCCGCGUGAGGGAUGGAGGCCUGCGGGUUGUGAACCUCUUUCGCCAGUGAAGCAGGCCUGCCUCGUUUGUGGGUGGGUUGACGGUAGCUGGAUAAGAAGCGCCGGCUAACUACGUG
rnacentral:rRNA from 1 species